rnacentral:rRNA from 1 species
UACGUAGGGUGCAAGCGUUGUCCGGAAUUAUUGGGCGUAAAGAGCUCGUAGGUGGCCUGUCGCGAUCGGCUGUGAAAACGUCGGGGCUCAACGUCCAGCUUGCAGUCGAUACGGGGCAGGCUAGAGUUCGGCAGGGGAGACUGGAAUUCCUGGUGUAGCGGUGAAAUGCGCAGAUAUCAGGAGGAACACCGAUGGCGAAGGCAGGUCUCUGGGCAUUAACUGACGCUGAGGAGCGAAAGCAUGGGGAGCGAACAGG